rnacentral:rRNA from 1 species
UACGAAGGGGGUGAGCGUUGUUCGGAUUUACUGGGCGUAAAGGGCGCGUAGGCGGCGCGAGAAGUCGAGUGUGAAAGCCCUCAGCUCAACUGAGGAAGUGCGCCCGAAACUGCAGAGCUUGAGUGCCGGAGAGGGUGGCGGAAUUCCCCAAGUAGAGGUGAAAUUCGUAGAUAUGGGGAGGAACACCGGUGGCGAAGGCGGCCAACUGGACCACAACUGACGCUGAGGCGCGAAAGCGUGGGGGGCAAACAGG